GACGAACCGUGCGAACGUUGUUCGGAAUCACUGGGCUUAAAGGGCGCGUAGGCGGGUUCUCAAGUCUGUGGUGAAAUCCUCCAGCUUAACUGGAGAAGUGCCCGUGGAUACUGGGGGACCUCGAGGUGGGGUAGGGGCAUCUGGAACAGCCGGGUGGAGCGGUGAAAUGCGUUGGAUAUCGGGCUGGAACUCCGAUGGCGAAGGCAAGGUGCUGGACCCCCUCUGAC
rnacentral:rRNA from 1 species